AUGUCCAUGUCCAUGGCCACCACCGCCCUCCUCCGGCUCGCGCCGCUGCCGCCGCACGCCCGGCUCCUCGCCCCGAGCUCCAAGAAACCCUCCCUCCUCCUCGCGCCCCUCGGCAGCGGCCGCCGCGCCCUGCGGCUCGCGAGGGCCGCCGGCGACGGGCUCGCGGACCAGACCGUCUACAACGGCGUGUACGGGCCCUGGUCCGUGGACGACGCCGACGUGCGGGAGGUGCUGCUUUACCGGGCCGGGCUGGUCACGGCCGCCGCGUCCUUCCUGGUGGCCGCCUCGGGGGCGUUCCUGGCGGAGGGGAACGCGGUCGGCGACGCCGUCCGGCAGGGCGCCGACCUCUUCUACGCCGCCGGGGCCGGGGGGCUCGGGCUGUCGCUGGUGCUCAUCCACAUCUAUGUCACCCCCAUCAAGCGGUUCCUCCAGGCGCUGUGGGCGGUCGGCGUGCUCGGCUCCGUCGGCACCUACGCCCUCGCCGCGCGGCCGCUCGACGAGGGGCUCGUCCGGUACGUGCUCGAGCACCCCGGGGCGAUGUGGUUCGUCGGGCCCACCUUCGCCGCGCUCACAGGCCUCGUCUUCAAGGAGGGUCUCUGCUAUGGAAAAUUGGAAGCUGGUAUCUUGACGUUUGUUAUCCCCAUCCUUCUUCUUGGACACCUGUCUGGCUUGAUGGACGAUGGAACAAAAUUGAGCCUCUUAGGAGUGUGGAUGUCACUCUUCACUGUGUUCGCCGCUAGGAAAUUCCAGCAGCCCAUUAAGGACGACAUCGGCGACAAGUCCGUUUUCAUAUUCAACGCCCUCCCCGAAGAGGAAAAGAAGGCUCUGCUGCAGAGGCUCGAGGCGCCAACUGAGCAGAAGUUUGAGUAG
rnacentral:rRNA from 1 species